rnacentral:lncRNA from 1 species
CAUUCCGCUCGGGCACCGCUUCGUCUUGUUUUCCGUAUUCGAUUCAAGUUUGUGCGGCGCUUUGUUAUUUUUAGUUGCUGCUGUUUAAACAGCGCCUUGAAGGGCAGCCGGCGCACCUCUCUUUACGAGCCGGCAGAGCCGCGCGCGUUCAUAUAUUUGCUUUUGGCCGCCAGCGGCGUUGCUCCGACUGCGCUCGGAGCGCGGCCCUGCUGGGGGCGGUGGGAUUGCCACGGGGAAGGGGCUGCCUGGGCGGGCGGCUGCCCCGGGAGCCCAGCUCGCAGCCCGGCUGUUCACGGCCCGAACGCCUUGCUUUUUCACCAGCCGCAAACCCCGCUCCCGCUUCCCCGGGCACGCCAAGGGCAAUCCAGAGCUGCCGGCUCAGGCCCCUCCUGCAUCCGCUGCGUCUCCAGCACACGCAGGGAGCCAAGGCGGAAGCCGUCGGGAGCUCGCGCGGGUUUGCAAAGGCCCCGCGUGUUCAGGCACGCGCCACGGGCCACGGAGCACUUCAGCCGGCCGACGCGCCGGGCUGACGCCGAGGGCGGUCGUUCCCUCCGCGCGGGGGGACCGCAGGAGUUAGCGACAGUCCCGCGCCGGGAGCAGGAGACGGGAGGUCUCCUGCAACCGGGCCCGGAGCCAGGAGGGAGCAAGGCGGCGGGUCCACCGAAAGCCGGGGGAGCCCCUUUCAGCCCCCAAGCAAAACCCUCCGCUCCUUUUCUCCCCAAAGUGUUUUCCGCCUCGCAGCAGAGAACUCAUCAGUGGGAGCCAGAGGGGCUGGAGGGGGGCCGGUGCCCCGACGCCGCUGUCGCCGAUCGGAGGAGACGGGUGCACACGUGGAGGGAGCUGCGGAGAGCCGCGGGGCAGGAGAGGUCCCGGGCUCUGCCCCGGGGGGCCGCUGGAGCACGGGGGCUCCCGUCGUCGCGCAGCCCAAGGGCUCGCGUGCCCGGGGUGCCCCGCUCGGGCGCAGCGCCCCGGCGCCGGUGCGAGCCCCUUCCCGGCCCCCAAGCUGACAGAGGCGACGCGGAGCAAAGCCGAUUCCUGUCCCCGGGGGGACGCAGCCCCCGGGGUGUCACCCCCACCCUGGCAGCCGCCUGCCCCUCGCCGCCUGCCCUGGGGGUCUCGCAGCGGAGCCCGGUGGCUCCGGGCACAAGGGACCCCGGGAUCCCCCGCAGCCUCGGGGGGAGCCCCAGCUCCGCGCGGGGCGCCGAGGGGGAGGGCGACGGGGAGGAGAGCCGGGAAGGGGGCUUGGGCUGGGGAGCCCGGAGAGGGGGAGUCUGGGGAGGGGGUUCCCUGAGGGGGGGGCCCCUGGGAGGGUGUCUGGGAAGGGAGUGCCUGGGAAGGGGGUGCCCGGGGAGGGGUUCCCGGAGGGGUUGUCCAGGGAGGGUGCCUGGGAAGGGGGUGCCCAGUGGGGGUACCCGGGGAGGGGGUGCUGGAAGGAGGUGCUCCAGGAGGGUGCCCAGGAAGAGGGUGCCCAGGAAGGGGGUG